UGCAGCAUGGCACAGUGGUAAGGAGUAGGACUCAUAACCGAAAGGUUGCCGGUUCGAUUCCCUGCUGGGGCAC
rnacentral:tRNA from 1 species